ACUUUUCCCAGGUUUGUCGAAGCAGAAAGUUACGUUCUGUAUCAAGCUCUGCUGCAUUGAAGCCCAUCACCACUGGACCAAUAGUCUGGACCAAAUGAAGAAAUACAUCACUUCUCAUUACAUCACUUCUGUAAUGUAAUGAGGUCGGUUGAAAUAAGAAAAAUGUGGCAUUUAAUUGACCUGAGUUUUCUGAUCUGUUACUGAAAUUAAACUGAAAUGAAAUAUA